GGAGUCGGCUGGGCGGUCGCUGCCGCCGCGAGGCGGUGGAGGAAAGUCCGGGCUCCGCAGGACAGGAUGCCAGGUAACGCCUGGGAGGCGCGAGCCUACGGAAAGUGCCACAGAAAACAUACCGCCGAACUGCGCCUUCGGGCGCGGUGGUAAGGGUGAAAAGGUGCGGUAAGAGCGCACCGCGCCGGUGGUAACAUCGGUGGCAGGGUAAACCCCAUCCGGAGCAAGACCAAAUAGGGGAACAGCUCUUCGGAGCGCGUGUGGUCCGCACGGUUCCCGGGUAGGUCGCUUGAGGCGCGUGGUGACGCGCGUCCCAGAGGAAUGACAGCCCUCGACAGAACCCGGCUUACAGGCCGACUCCCCCU
rnacentral:RNase_P_RNA from 1 species